UCGAGAAUCUUUCGCAAUGCACGAAAGUGUGACGAAGCGACGCCGCGUGCAGGAUGAAGGCCUUCGGGUUGUAAACUGCUGUCAUGAGGGAACAACGGCUUCGGUGUUAACAGCGCCGGAGCGUGAUGGUACCUCAGGAGGAAGACACGGCUAACUCUGUGCCAGCAGCCGCGGUAAGACAGAGGUGUCGAGCGUUGUUCGGAUUUACUGGGCGUAAAGGGUGCGUAGGCGGUUCUGCAUGUCGGAUGUGAAAUCUCACGGCUUAACUGUGAAACGGCUUCCGAAACUGCAGGGCUAGAGUACAGGAGAGGAGAGCGGAAUUCUCGGUGUAGCGGUGAAAUGCGUAGAUAUCGAGAGGAACGCCGGUGGCGAAGGCGGCUCUCUGGACUGAUACUGACGCUGAGGCACGAAAGCUGGGGGAGCAAACAGG
rnacentral:rRNA from 1 species